UAGGAACCUAUAUAACCUCCUAGUAAGAUUUAAAAAUUAGUAGAUCAUUGUUAUGUGCCUGAACUUAUCAGAGACAUUAUUUCAAAUCUUUUACUAUUGUAGCAUAGUUUUGAAAUUAAUGUUGAGAGUAAAAGUUACUCUCCUUCUGAUAAAUUUUAGGACUAUGAUCUCAUAUUUUUGUCACUCAAUGAUGUUGUUCUUUAUGUUGAUGAGAAUAAGAAAUAAAUAUGUGAUAGUCACAUAUCUUAGGGUAAGCAAGGUAUUAAGUUUUGAAUAUAUGGAUGUUCGAAGACUAAUAAUAUCUCGAUCCAAAGAUUGAUACUUCAUAUGUGAUAUGAUGUGUUCUCUAAAAUACUUCAUAAAUCUUAUUGUCUCAUUCUAAAAAAUAUCCUAAAAAUUAUUGUAUAUGUUAGAUAUCAUCAAAAUCUAUUACGAGCACUCCAUAUGAGAUAUGAAAAAGGCAAAAAGC
rnacentral:lncRNA from 1 species